UGAGCAACCUGCCCCUGGCUCUGGGAUAACCCCGGGAAACCGGAGCUAAUACCGGAUACUCUCGGCCGAUCAUAUGGCUGGCCGAGGAAAGGUCCGCCGGUCAGGGAUGGGCCCGCGGCCUAUCAGCUUGUUGGCGAGGUAACGGCUCACCAAGGCGACGACGGGUAGCUGGUCUGAGAGGACGACCAGCCACACUGGAACUGAGACACGGCCCAGACCUCCUACGGGGAGCA
rnacentral:rRNA from 1 species